UACGCUGGCGGCAGCCUAAGAUUACAGUCGAACGAAGGCUCUCGGCCUUAAUGGCGCACGGGUGCGUAUGGGAAUCUGCCCUCAGGUUCGGAAUAACUUCGGGAAACUGAAGCUAAUACCGGAUGAUAUCGCAAGAUCAAAGAUUUAUCGCCUGAGGAUGAGCCCGCGUAGGAUUAGCUAGUUGGUGUGGUAAAGGCGCACCAAGGCGACGAUCCUUAGCUGGUCUGAGAGGAUGAUCAGCCACACUGGGACUGAGACACGGCCCAGACUCCUACGGGAGGCAGCAGUGGGGAAUAUUGGACAAUGGGCGAAAGCCUGAUCCAGCAAUGACGCGUGAGUGAUGAAGGCCUUAGGGUUGUAAAGCUCUUUUACCCGGGAUGAUCCUGACAGUACCGGGAGAAUAAGCACAGGCUAACUCCGCGCCAACAGCCGCGAUAAUACGGAGGGAGCUAGCCGUAUCGGCACCAUGGGCGUAAGCGCAC
rnacentral:rRNA from 1 species